rfam:Desulfobacula sp. RIFOXYA12_FTLL_46_16 rifixya3_full_scaffold_3212, whole genome shotgun sequence.
UGACCAGGCAAAACGAUCGCUGGGUGUUAAACCUGGAGGAAAGUCCGAACACCAUAGGACAGGACGCUCCAUAACAUGGAGUCACGGUGACGUGAAGGAAAGUGCAACAGAGAGUAGACCGCCGGUAUCGAUUCAGAUACAGGUAAGGGUGAAACGGUGCGGUAAGAGCGCACCAGUUUUCCGGGUGACUGGAAAAGCUUGGUAAACCCCGUCCGGUGCAAGACCAAAUAGGGAAACGUUUGAGGGUUGUCCGCCCAAGUUUUCGGGUAGGUUG